rnacentral:rRNA from 2 species
GGGGAAUAUUGCGCACUGGGGGAAACCCUGACGCAGCAAUACCGCUUGAGUGAAGAAGGUUUUCGGAUCGUAAAGCUCUGUUAUUGGGGAAGAAAAAAAGACGGUACCCAAGAAGAAAGUCCCGGCUAACUACGUGCCAGCAGCCGCGGUAAUACGUAGGUGGCAAGCGUUAUCCGGAUUUACUGGGUGUAAAGGGCGUGUAGGCGGGACUGCAAGUCAGAUGUGAAAACUAUGGGCUCAACCCAUAGCCUGCAUUUGAAACUGUAGUUCUUGAGUGUCGGAGAGGCAAUCGGAAUUCCGGGUGUAGCGGUGAAAUGCGUAGAUAUACGGAGGAACACCAGUGGCGAAGGCGGAUUGCUGGACGAUAACCGACGCUGAGGCGCGAAAGCGUGGGGAGCAAACA